rnacentral:rRNA from 1 species
CCUACGGGAGGCAGCAGUGGGGAAUAUUGGACAAUGGGCGAAAGCCUGAUCCAGCCAUGCGCGUGUGUGAAGAAGGUCUUCGGAUUGUAAAGCACUUUAAGUUGGGAGGAAGGGCAGUAACCUUAAUACUGUUAGUGUUUUGACGUUACCGACAGAAUAAGCACCGGCUAACUCUGUGC